rnacentral:rRNA from 1 species
UACGUAGGGUGCGAGCGUUGUCCGGAAUUAUUGGGCGUAAAGAGCUCGUAGGCGGUCUGUUGCGUCCGCUGUGAAAACUCGGGGCUUAACCCCGAGCCUGCAGUGGAUACGGGCAGACUAGAGGUAGGUAGGGGAGAAUGGAAUUCCCGGUGUAGCGGUGAAAUGCGCAGAUAUCGGGAGGAACACCGGUGGCGAAGGCGGCAUCCUGGACCGGCAUUGACGCUGAGGCGCGAAAGCUAGGGUAGCAAACGGG